AACAACCAAACACCCAACGUCGCAAUCCAUUCAUGCCACCCACUCAACCACAAAAACAAGAAUCAAACCCUACCCACCAAUAACCAUACGCUGCAACCACAACCGUCUACAACCCAGAUGAUUCAUAUGGGUCACUUCAUCGUAGCCCCCACCAAUGACCACUCAAACAUUCCAUCACCAAAACACACAACCAUUGUUU
rnacentral:lncRNA from 1 species